GACGAACGCUGGCGGCGUGCUUAACACAUGCAAGUCGAACGGUGAAGCGAGUGCUUGCACUCGUGGAUCAGUGGCGAACGGGUGAGUAACACGUGAGUAACCUGCCCAUCACUCUGGGAUAAGCACUGGAAACGGUGUCUAAUACUGGAUACGACCAACCCUUGCAUGGGGUGUUGGUGGAAAGAUUUAUCGGUGAUGGAUGGACUCGCGGCCUAUCAGCUUGUUGGCGGGGUAAUGGCCCACCAAGGCGACGACGGGUAGCCGGCCUGAGAGGGUGACCGGCCACACUGGGACUGAGACACGGCCCAGACUCUUACGGGAGGCAGCAGUGGGGAAUAUUGCACAAUGGGCGAAAGCCUGAUGCAGCGACGCCGCGUGAGGGAUGACGGCCUUCGGGUUGUAAACCUCUUUCAGCAGGGAAGAAGCGAAAGUGACGGCACCUGCAGAAGAAGCACCGGCUAACUACGUG
rnacentral:rRNA from 1 species